AAUUAUAACUAUAAUUAACUAAUUAAAAAUAAUUAAUAAUUAUUAUAAUUAAUUAACAAACAAAAAAGUCUCUCUUUUUUUUUUUAUUUUGGCCGAAGAAGCCAAAGGGAGAAAGUUACCUAUACAGCAAGCGGACUCCCGUUCUUCCCCCCGAUCAAAAUGUUGCAACUUCCGAUUUCGACAGGAAGGGAAAGCCGUGGAAGGAGCGGGGUCGACCGGCUAGGGAGGGGGAAGACCGUCGGCUUGGACAGGAGGUAGGGAGAUCUAUCUCUUUCUCUCUUUCUCUCUCUCUAUUUCUUUGGACGAGAGUUGGCCGAAGGAGGAGAAGGCACGGCACAGGGGUUCGGAGGAGGCGAAGAGAGCUCGGCGGGCUUCAGUCGUCGGAGUAGGGAUUUGCGAACGGGAGAGGGGAGAUCGGGAGAGGAUUCGGGAAGUUGGAGCGGAACGAGGCCGAGCGGGAUCGCGAGAGGAGGCCGAAGGCCUCUUCCUCGUUCGCUUUUAACGACGCCAAGUCGUGCGAGCGAUCGUGUGUGAGGCGACGUCGAGUCGUGCGAGGAGUGGCGACGACAGAGGCAGUCGUGCGAGGCGCGACGUGGGGCUGCAGGGAGUAGGUAAGAUUUUGAUUUUCUUUUUUUUUUUGUACAGCAGGUCAACAGUACAAAAUUAUUCUUCUAGCCUAGUUGGUUGCUUGAAGUUAUAAACUAUAUCAGUGAGUAAUGUAUACUACAUUCCUUCAUUUGAUUUGAUUUGGUUUGGUCAGAUUUUAUAUGCCGAUUCGGUGUGGUCAGAUUUUAUAUGCAACUUCGAUUGUCGUGAUCGCAUCAUAAAACUCUAACUUAAUUUCUAUGUAUAGUCACCUCUAGUCAAAGGCUGCUACUCUAAUAGCAUGAAGGAUCUAUGUGGUCUAUUCUCUCCUAUUUAUUUUUAGUUUGCAUCAAAUGAUUAUCAGAACAUACUUCUAGUGCACUAUUUUUGAAGAAACAUGCUUCUUGCAUUCUACCAAAUAAUUUUCCGUUAGCUAUGCAAACAUAUAUGUUGUGAUGGUGGAUUCGAUCAAACAAAUUUCAUGUAGUAAAAUUUAUAUACUUAUGAUUAAGUGGUGGUUGGUAUAUCAUUGGCAUGUAUGAAUGAGCAAUGUAAAUAGUUCCCAUUAUUUCUUGGAUAUGUUUUGAGCUUAGCAUUAAAUAAAAUUCUCUCUAAUGUGUAUAAUUGUUCAUUCAUACUCUUUUGGGGAUGUGCUUUGGGAAUUGCAUUUGGACAUACAUAUGACUUUGUUUAUCUCGAUAACAACUGUGACAUUAAUUGCAUAAUGGCUAAAUCAUUAAAAAAAAUUCAACCUUUUUUUAUUCCCUUUGUAUAUGUAGUUGUGAUUUCUUCAUAUAUUUGAUUUCUUUUUAUGAGAAAACACACGAGUUAAAAUCCUUUCUCGUAUACAAUUACAUAUGUUGAUUCAUUCUUGUAAGUUGUCAUAUACAUUGAAAUUAUUUCUUACAAAGAUACAUACACUUCGAAAUUGCUUCAAUGACUUGAUUUGAUUCAUAUUCUCACAUAUUUGUUUACAUGUUAAUUCAUACCAGUUUCUAUAUUCGCAUACAUGAUAUUCUGACACCUCCUUUUCUCUUCGCGUAUUUGCGAGGUACUGAUGGAGCUGAUUGGAGGAUGAGCCAAGGAGCUUCAGUCGCCCCGUUUCUUCUAAACGGGGUGCUACGACCGGAGUCACCGUUGACUAGCUCCGGUGAUUAGCACAAACGGAACCUGUUUGUGAAAGGUUGGUUGUAAGACUACCCUACAGUGGAUUAAAUCUUCACAUUCGCACAGGCUGGUACUCAAUUUUGGGAUGGGAAGUUAGAAAAAGAGCUAGCAGAAGGUCGACUUAGUAGCACUGCUUAUGACCGGUAAAAUAUGUGAAGGUACUGUAUGGUUCUCUUUUCUGGGAUUGCAGCUGAAGCUCUCAUUUGUGGAGAAGCAGAAGGUGGAGAAAAUGAUGAAAAUUUGUUUAGGGGUAUCUGUCUUCUCUUCCAACCUCCAUUAAAUGUACCACAGAUGGCAAAUCAAGCACGCUGGUCGGUCAUGCAGUCUUACAAUCUUCUUAAGUGGCUGUUAAAGCUCUGCGAUCUGGCCAUAGCCUUAGUGUGGUCAUCAGGAGGAUAUAAGAAGCCAUGUCUUCUGGUAGUUGACAAAGAAGCUCAGUGGGUUCUGUCAUGGAAUCAUAGUGCAUUGGUCAUUGCAGUGUCUUCUUACCAUGAGCAUCCUGUCAGGCGCUGAACAACUUAAUGAGCCUUUAAAUUGGUCAAAGAGAUGCUGGCAACUUUAUAUGCAAAUAUCAUGAAAUAACUCAUAAGACCAACAUGGAAGGAAGAGAAAGAAUCGAGCAAGAAGAUUGAUUCCCAUAUAUGCCAUCAAAAGAAGAGGGCUCGCUACAUGAAAAGGUUAGGGGAGAAUUUUGGUUCAGUAUGCUUAGCCGUGCUCUGAAUGUUAUUUUUAGAAUUUUCAUAUCAUUCAACAGAAGCUUCAGCCUACUUUCUUCCAAGGAAGGAUUGCUCUUCCAAUAUGUUUGAGUAAAAUGGGAGGAGAAAAUGACUGAAAGAGAAUUUUUGUUACCGUUAUUGCUAUUUGAAAAUUCAUGUAAAGGAGUUGUAGUAGAAAAUUUUAUAGUUAAAGUUGCCAAUGAAAAGCUUUUUAUUCGUGUUUGUUGAUCCA